rnacentral:rRNA from 1 species
AUGAACGCUGCCGGUCUGCUUAACACAUGCAAGUCGAACGGAAUCCUUAGGGAUUUAGUGGCGGACGGGUGAGUAACACGUAAGAACCUGCCUCUAGGACGGGGACAACAGUUGGAAACGACUGCUAAACCCGGAUGAGCCGAAAGGUAAAAGAUUAAUCGCCUAGAGAGGGGCUUGCGUCUGAUUAGCUAGUUGGUGAGGUAAGAGCCCACCAAGGCGACGAUCAGUAGCUGGUCUGAGAGGAUGAUCAGCCACACUGGGACUGAGACACGGCCCAGACUCCUACGGGAGGCAGCAGUGGGGAAUUUUCCGCAAUGGGCGAAAGCCUGACGGAGCAAGACCGCGUGGGGGAGGAAGGUUCUUGGAUUGUCAACCCCUUUUCUCAGGGAAGAACACAAUGACGGUACCUGAGGAAAAAGC